rnacentral:tRNA from 1 species
GGACGUUGAUUUCAUUGAAGAUCGGCAUGACUCUUAAUCAGCGGGUCCCAGGUUCGAACCCUGGUGCGUCCACCA